UACAGAGGGGGCAAGCGUUGUUCGGAAUUACUGGGCGUAAAGGGCGCGUAGGCGGCCUUCUAAGUCGAACGUGAAAUCCCCGGGCUCAACCCGGGAACUGCGUCCGAUACUGGAAGGCUUGAAUCCGGGAGAGGGAUGCAGAAUUCCAGGUGUAGCGGUGAAAUGCGUAGAUAUCUGGAGGAACACCCAGGGGGAAACCAGUGGACUGGGCAGCAGCUGACGCUGAUGUGCGAAAGCGUGGGGAGCGAACCGG
rnacentral:rRNA from 1 species